UCCCUAGUAGCUCAGAUGGUUAAGUGUCUGCCUAUAACGCAGGAGACCUGGGUUCAUUCCCUGGGUUGGGAA
rnacentral:tRNA from 1 species